UACGGGGGGAGCAAGCGUUGUUCGGAUUUACUGGGCGUAAAGGGCGCGUAGGCGGCCACCGCAAGUCGACUGUGAAAUCUCCGGGCUUAACCCGGAACGGUCAGCCGAUACUGCGGGGCUAGAGUGCAGAAGGGGCAACUGGAAUUCUCGGUGUAGCGGUGAAAUGCGUAGAUAUCGAGAGGAACACCUGCGGCGAAGGCGGGUUGCUGGGCUGACACUGACGCUGAGGAGCGAAAGCGUGGGGAGCGAACAGG
rnacentral:rRNA from 1 species